rnacentral:rRNA from 1 species
AUUGAACGCUGGCGGCAGGCCUAACACAUGCAAGUCGAGCGGAUGAAGGGAGCUUGCUCCUGGAUUCAGCGGCGGACGGGUGAGUAAUGCCUAGGAAUCUGCCUGGUAGUGGGGGAUAACGUCCGGAAACGGGCGCUAAUACCGCAUACGUCCUGAGGGAGAAAGUGGGGGAUCUUCGGACCUCACGCUAUCAGAUGAGCCUAGGUCGGAUUAGCUAGUUGGUGGGGUAAAGGCCUACCAAGGCGACGAUCCGUAACUGGUCUGAGAGGAUGAUCAGUCACACUGGAACUGAGACACGGUCCAGACUCCUACGGGAGGCAGCAGUGGGGAAUAUUGCACAAUGGGCGAAAGCCUGAUCCAGCAAUGCCGCGUGUGUGAAGAAGGUCUUCGGAUUGUAAAGCUCUUUAAGUGGGGAAGAAGGAAAGUAAGUGAAAACCUGCAUGUUUUGACGUUACCGGAAAAAAAAGCCCCGGCUAACUUCGUG